rnacentral:rRNA from 1 species
UAGGGAAUCUUCCGCAAUGGACGAAAGUCUGACGGAGCAACGCCGCGUGAGUGAAGAAGGAUUUCGGUUCGUAAAACUCUGUUGUUAGGGAAGAAAAAAUGUAUAGUAACUAUAUACAAAAGAGACGGUACCUAACCAGAAAGCCACGGCUAACUACGUGCCAGCAGCCGCGGUAAUACGUAGGUGGCAAGCGUUGUCCGGAAUUAUUGGGCGUAAAGCGCGCGCAGGUGGUUUAGAAAGUCUGAUGUGAAAGCCAACGGCUCAACCGUGGAGGGUCAUUGGAAACUAAUAAACUUGAGUGCAGGAGAGAAAAGUGGAAUUCCUAGUGUAGCGGUGAAAUGCGUAGAGAUUAGGAGGAACACCGGUGGCGAAAGCGGCUUUUUGGCCUGCAACUGACACUGAGGCGCGAAAGCGUGGGGAGCAAACAGG